rnacentral:lncRNA from 1 species
GGUAACGCCAAGAGGUCUGGGUUAAGGUUACUAUAUUACCACCUUCCUUCAGGAGAGUGUCCCCACACUUCUCUAUACCAAGUCUCUCUCAUGUGUACACGCCUCUCCGAUGGCCUCACGGGUACCAUCCCAAUUCACUAGGUGUGGGUUAAGGUCUCCUACAAUAUCGAUUUUCAAGUAUGUUUUCAUAUUUCAUACACACACAGCCUAAAGCACAUGGUAUCUAAUGUUACAAAUAUAUCCAGCCAGGGUCAAUUACUUAUUUUGUAAUUUGUUUGAAUAGCUUUUUGUGUGUUUGUUUUCUUGACAUGAAGGACUUGUGGUGGUUUGAUAUGAAGAACAUGAAGGACUUGAGGUGGUUUGAUAUGAAGAACAUGAAGGACUUGAGGUGGUUUGAUAUGAAGGACUUGAGGUGGUUUGAUAUGAAGGACAAUAGGUGGUUUGAUAUGAAGGACAAUAGGUGGUUUGAUAUGAAGGACAAUAGGUGGUUUGAUAUGAAGGACAAGAGGUGGUUUGAUAUGAAGGACAUGAGGUGGUUUGAUAUGAAGGACAAGAGGUGGUUUGAUAUGAAGGACAAGAGGUGGUUUGAUAUGAAGGACAAGAGGUGGUUUGAUAUGAAGGACAUGAGGUGGUUUGAUAUGAAGGACAAGAGGUGGUUUGAUAUGAAGGACUCACAUACAACCAAACUUUAUUUAGAUCAUGCUGGAUUAAUCUGAUUCUGUUCAUACUGUACUAGGCUACCUAAGGUCUAGUAUGCACUAAUGCAGUGGUUCCCAACCAUUCUUUUGUUACUGUACCACCAACUGAAUUUUGCUCUGCCUGGAGUACCCCUGAAGUACCCCCUCGUGUAUUUUACCAGUAGGGCUAUGGGCUCAUGAGUCUUCUCAAGUACCCCUGUGGAUAGACCAGGUACCCCCAGGGGUCCUAGUACCACUGGUUGGGAACCACUGCAGUAAUGAACUCUUAAAGUGGAUGUGAAUGAAGGAUAUGCCAGCAUGUACAUUAGCUAGUGUUGAGAUUUUAAGAUACUAUUUUAAAUGUAAAAAGAAAAAAAAAAAACAUCUGCAUUUUGUACUGCAAUGUACGUACUCGCACGCACACUCACUCAGGAAUUACAUACGACGUUAAUACACCUUUGUUACAUAUUUAUUGUGGAUAAUAUAUUUACUAUUUAGUCACGAUCUCAACAUCUCUGUUUUGAAUGGACAAUGCCUACUGGCAUCAUUGUUUACAGUCUGCUAAAAGUUUACUUCAGAGAUGUAUAUGAAGAAAAAACAUCUACAAUAUUGUAAAUAAAUGUGUAAAUAUGUAAUUUGGUUUACUUUGUGUUUUAUUUUCACUUAACAAUAACAGAUAUGGUGAAGAAAGCUAAAUACAUCUAAAAUGUUAAAUACAUCUUAAAUAAAAUAAAAUGUUAUUGGUCAC